GGCUUUUUGUCCUUUGGGCUGUGGUGAUCACAUUCCUCCUCAGUCAGGGUUGCAGACCAAGAUCAGUCUGUAAGCAGCAUCUUCAUCAGGACUGCAUGAGCAGGCAGCCUUAUUUUCUGGCCUCAGACAAUG